rnacentral:lncRNA from 1 species
UUUUUCUAAAACUAGUUUAUGAAUGCUUAAUUUAGUUGGUAACAUUGGAGCUUUUAUCAUAAGAAAUAACAGAUUGCUUUACAGUUGCAUGUAUUUUUUAGCUUCCACAGAAUUGUACCGAGUGAUUUAUAUAAAAAUAUGCAGUAUAACUAUCAAUAAAACUCUACCAGAAGCUGGUUUGUACUUUGUAGUGUAGUAUCAUUAAACACUCCAAAUAGUCCUAGAAUAUUCAUUGUGCAUGUUUGUGAACAAACUAAAAAAUGACUACAUGUCUAUAUCAUUUAUUCAAUGAAUCUAAAAAGUGAACUUUUGCUUAUAAUUAAG